UUGGAGACCUGGGACCAUGACUGCAGCAGCCCCCCCCCCCCUCCCGAAGCUGCAGCAGUAGUGGUAGCAGCAGCCCGGUCUGGCAGGCCAACGAGCACAGCGUUGCCCGUGAGGCCCCCAGAAAUCACCUCUCAAGUGAACUACUUAGACUCAAGCCCUUGCCUCAGCAUCGGCUUCUAGAACAUUCCAAUGUGAGAUAUGCUGUGAGCCAUCAUCUGGACUUGGACCUCUAAAGAAUGAGCAGGUGGAACCAGGAGGCAAGAACCUAAAGGGAGAUUAUGCAAGAGAGAACAGGAGAAAAAGGAGAAAAGUCAAAACAAACAUGGAUGACUCUCGAGGGAAAAGUCAUCAAGGUGAAAGCAGGUUAUAUGACCUAGCAAUCCGUCUCUUAGAACACACGUCCAGCGAAUCAGAAAACAGAUGACGACGCAAAUACUUUUCUGUACUAUUCACAAUAGCCAAUAGGUGGAAAGAACCCAAAUAUCUAUCAAUGGGCGAGAAGACAAACAGUGGUACAACUACACGAUGGAAUGUUAUUCAGCCCCAAAGAGGAAAUGGUACCGAUACAGGCUACAGCAUUGUUGAACUUCACAAGCAAUAUGUAGAGGAAAAGAUGGCAGACACAGAAGACCACACGCUGUAUGAUCCCAUUUGUAGGAAAUGUCUGGAAUCAGUGAAUCCAUAGAGAUAGACAGCA